CACCCCUCAGAGCAGUGAAUAAGGCUGGAGAAGCAGAGUGUGUGUGAAUGGCUCAUCUGAUUUGGGAAAGUGUCCACAAACUAGGAUACUACGGUCUACGGAACAGCUUGGGCACCCCUUAGGAUUCCAUCUCCCAGUGGUGUUCAGGGUACAGCUCGGAGAACCCAGACUAGGUUGUUCAGAGAUUCUUAGCUGUGCAGUCAGACUGGCCUGAUGGCAUGCUGCAUCCAACUUCAGCUCAGAGUCUGGAGGCAAUAAAGACCUUGCCUGGGAGCAGCUUUCCGUUCAAUACACCCAGAGGUCAAUGGAGAAGCUGCUUCUUGACCCUGACCUACAGAAGACAGAGGCUUGCAUGAUGCAGUUUGUAUAUCUGUAUGUAACAUCCGUACUGACCUGCCAGUAGUGGGCCAGAAGUAAGGCAUCUAACAAACGUGGGUGCUCUUAGUAAAACAAGACAAAACGUUGUAAUGUACUGUCUGAAAAAAAGGCAUCUCUGGAGAAAAAAGUCAACUUAAUCUAAUGCAAACUUUAGCUGGAAUAAUCUACACUCUUCAACAGCUGCAGAUGUGCAUGCAAGAGACAAUGACCUUGUUAUGGGUGUUUUCUCACAUGUGUUUUCCAAAUUCGAGAUCCAAAUGCAAACUGCAGAAUAUUAUGUGGAUUUCUGACACGACCUGGAGGGCUUUGAGCCCAUAAACAAUUAAUGGAUUUUGAGGACAGGCAUCGCUAUAGUAUUUCUUCAGUGACAGAUAUAAUCUUGCUCCAGUAUUGUUCAUGUUAUUAUGUAAAGGGAACUGUACCAACUUCUUUCAAACCAGCACUCUGACUUGGCAGAGGAAAAGAAGCCUGUUUAAGCAUAAACAAACUGACAAUUAGUUAAUCUCCUCUCCUCCCACUCAAUUCAGUGCUCAGGAUCUAAGAGCAAUAUUGACCUUGGCACUGGACAUAAGGCGUGACCUGGGGUUCUCAUUACCUACUUUCUUAUUUUGUAACAGAACCCGUUGACAUAUGAGUCCUUAUGGGCCAGAUGGGCCAGUGCCCCCAAGCAACAGUAAAUGAGAGCUAACACCAAGUGGCCAGAAGUUAGAGAAAAGGAGACACAGAUGAUUCCAGUUUGGAUUUGACGUGAUGGAUCGUGAAUGCUAGUCAUGAAUUCUAAUUGCCAAAGGUGGCGUUUUGCACCGCUGCACCUGGUUAGGACUCUUGACUCCCGGGAGCUGUGAACAGUGGGGCGCCUCGCUGCUCCCUGGCCUCUACACCACUGUGCCCCCUGCAUUCCGACAUGGCCGGUGUAAUAAGAGUGCUGGAAGAGACUGAACUUUAUGUCCUGUCCUCUGUCACAUGAUCUGGAGCAAAGGUCAAUAUCAUUGGAGGGCUGUAACCACUUGUUAGCCAAUCCAUAUAUGAUAGGUGUAGUAUACACCAUAUCAAGGGGUAGUAUGUGCAUGGUUUCAAUAUACAUUAUAUAUGUAUAUAAGUGUUGGGAAGUUAACUGAAUGUAUUAUGCUCUUCCCAUGAUUCUAUUCACCCAUGUCAUGUAUUCCACAACACUUGGGAAAGCUGAGGUCAGCUUCGGCAACAGAAAACAGGAAGCCUGUCAAAGCCAAGAUUCAUGAAAUGGUGUUCCCUAGCACAGGCUGUACUUCUACACCCAACUGUUUGGAGUGUGGCCUACAAAACUGAGCUAAGGAAAGAUACAGACCAGCAUGUUAAGGAAUUAGUGGGCUGGAUCUUAGGUGAGCUAUAAAGUGCUCUUUAACUUGUAAAAAGCCAUUGCAUAAAUAUAAGUUGUUUUGGAGGAGGAGUCUUUGAAGCAUACGUUCUGUGUAAGGUGAACAUACUGCGAGACAAGAAUUGCUUUUGAAAAGGAGGGCAUGUAUGUCUCCUUUUCGUUUUGUCUUGAGAUGGUAAAAUUUGGCUAAGUUUGGUUAGUUGGUCUCUUGAACAUUCUUUAUAAUGAACCGCACGCAUAGUCGAUCAGUUGGCUAUACUAUUAAUCAACACACUGACUCCGGUGGUUAGCUGCAUGAGAUACUUACAGAUACUUUGCCUGUUCGGUGCCAGUGCUCUAGCCCUCUUGCAGAAGCCAAGGAUGGGGAUUUUACCUCAGGCCUUUACGGGGACCUAGCUGCAACAUUUCAGUUGAGAUCCAGGGCAACCAAAAGAGCAAAUUCAUCACUGACUGGUACACUGCCUUGUAAAUAAUUUCUCAGGUUCUCUCUCCAUCUAUCCCUAACAGAUCUGACUAUGUUAGUUUGAAGUUGUUUUCCUGACAGACUAAGGGAAAUACGCCCAGCUCAUUGUUAACAACAGUGUCAGAAUCUUUAUGAGAGAGCGAAUAAUAAUGACAGACAAUAGAUUGUAACAUAAUUAUAAUCUCUAUAGAUGAUUAGCUGAGAGGGUAAAGCAGAUAUUGGAUCUGAACAAGUAACUGCCAGUUGAGGAUGAUGGGAAAUAUUUAUAAAACACUGGCACAUCCACAUAGUAUCACCUGAGCAAUUAACAAAUCUGAGCUUGAUAUAUUCUCUGAUUUCAUUUGAUGAUAUCACCAAGUCACUUAUAUUCAUUCAUGCUACAACAGCAGGAUGCUCGGGACAAUCUCUGAAUCAAAAUGAACAUCUUUCAUCUGACAAAGUCCUGAUGUUCACAAGGAAAAAUCAUCAUGUGGGCUCUGAUUAUGAUCCUCACUGUGUAAACCACUUGGACAUUUCACUCUUUUUCUAUCAGUUCACACAAAAGAAACCACUUGGGUAGCCAGGCGACAAGUGCAAAAAGUAGAUUUAUUUCACUAACCCUUCUUUGCUGCCUUUGGCAUAUCCUGCUGGCUUGAGUCUCUGGCAUUUUCAGGAACAUUUUUUGGUCAGGAUGAUCUUUGUUGUUAUUAACUGGAAAUAAUUUGCAUUUUGUAGUCUCUCAUAUUUCCCUUUCUUUUUUUAAAAUUUCUGUUGGUACCCAGAAGACCUUGUGAUGUCACAGCCAGAUACAUACAAUGUGAUUACAGAUGGCAAUACACUGGAAAACACACUAUUUGACUGGAUGCAGGAAGCAAAGUGCCAGAUGGAGAAUGAGACUCGCUUUUUUAAAGAUACAGGAUCACUAAAUAAAACCAUAAACUUUAGAAGAAUAUUCAGCCACUUCUAAACAUAUAAAAAUGCAUAUUAAAAACUUGGACACAUUUCUUUUCCUCUUUGACCAAGUGAAGUUCACUAAGGCAUCCAAGAGCUCAGGCCUGUAGAAUAGGAACUGUAUACCAUAUAUGCCAAUCUCUAGAAAAAAAUAUUUGACAACAUCCAGAAAGUGGUGUAGACAUCAGACGAGAUAAACUGGCUGUAUGUAGAAUGUGAAAGCCUUCUCUAAGUGACUUGUCUGCCCUUUUCCUUGUAGCAAGGUAUUCUCUCAUCAGCUCCAAUAGUGCCACUCACCGGUGUUACCCCAUUGGUUUACAGGAAGUCAGCAGGAGAGUCUGGCUUGGUCUGUCCUCAGCUGAUGUUCACUUAAGAGGUUUCUAAAGUCCUCAUGUUUUUAUUUUAUUCCCCAAAUGAUUGUUUUUGGGGACAAGAAAACCGCAACUUAUGAUUCAAUAAAAUUUCUUUCUCUGAUUGAUCUGGCUGGGUCCAAGACACACUUUUUGUAAAUGCCCUCUGCCACUUGGAUGUUGGCUCUGAUCUCUCACACGUAAGUAGGGCCCUACCAAAUUCACGGCCAUUAAAAAACGCAUCACGGAUCGUGAAAUCUGGUCUCCCCCCUUGAAAUCUGGGCUUUUGUGUGCUUUUACCCUAUACUAUACAGACUUCACGGGGGAGACCAGCGUUUCUCAAACUGGGGGUCCUGUCCCAAAAUGGGGUUGUGGCGGGUCACAAGGUUAUUUUAGGGGGGUCACAGUA